UACGUAGGGGGCUAGCGUUGUCCGGAUUUAUUGGGCGUAAAGAGCGUGUAGGCGGCCAUGUAGGUCCGGUGUGAAAACUCGAGGCUUAACCUCGAGAUGUCAUCGGAAACCAUUUGGCUAGAGUCCGGAAGAGGAGAGUGGGAAUUCCUGGUGUAGCGGUGAAAUGCGCAGAUAUCAGGAAGAACACCAAUGGCGAAAGCAGCUCUCUGGGACGGUACUGACGCUGAGACGCGAAAGCGUGGGGAGCGAACAGG
rnacentral:rRNA from 1 species